GUUGGUGCUUGCAUCAUGAUUUACAUUUGAGUGAGUGGCGAACUGGUGAGUAACACGUGGGAAACCUGCCCAGAAGGGGGGAUAACACCUGGAAACAGAUGCUAAUACCGCAUAACAACUUGGACCGCAUGGUCCGAGUUGAAAGAUGGCUUCGGCUAUCACUUUUGGAUGGUCCCGCGGCGUAUUAGCUAGAUGGUGGGUAACGGCUCACCAUGGCAAUGAUACGUAGCCGACCUGAGAGGGUAAUCGGCCACAUUGGGACUGAGACACGGCCCAAACUCCUACGGGAGGCAGCAGUAGGGAAUCUUCCACAAUGGACGAAAGUCUGAUGGAGCAACGCCGCGUGAGUGAAGAAGGGUUUCGGCUCGUAAAACUCUGUUGUUAAAGAAGAACAUAUCUGAGAGUAACUGUUCAGGUAUUGACGGUAUUUAACCAGAAAGCCACGGCUAACUACGUGCCAGCAGCCGCGGUAAUACGUAGGUGGCAAGCGUUGUCCGGAUUUAUUGGGCGUAAAGCGAGCGCAGGCGGUUUUUUAAGUCUGAUGUGAAAGCCUUCGGCUCAACCGAAGAAGUGCAUCGGAAACUGGGAAACUUGAGUGCAGAAGAGGACAGUGGAACUCCAUGUGUAGCGGUGAAAUGCGUAGAUAUAUGGAAGAACACCAGUGGCGAAGGCGGCUGUCUGGUCUGUAACUGACGCUGAGGCUCGAAAGUAUGGUAGCAAACAGGAUUAGAUACUCUGGUAGUCCAUACCGUAAACGAUGAAUGCUAAGUGUUGGAGGGUUUCCACUCUUCAGUGCUGCAGCUAACGCAUUAAGCAUUCCGCCUGGAGAGUA
rnacentral:rRNA from 1 species